rnacentral:rRNA from 1 species
GACGAACGCUGGCGGCGUGCCUAAUACAUGCCAGUUGAGCGAUGAAGAUUGGUGCUUGCACCAAUUUGAAGAGCAGCGAACGGGUGAGUAACGCGUGGGGAAUCUGCCUUUGAGCGGGGGACAACAUUUGGAAACGAAUGCUAAUACCGCAUAAUAACUUUAAACAUAAGUUUUAAGUUUGAAAGAUGCAAUUGCAUCACUCAAAGAUGAUCCCGCGUUGUAUUGGCUAGUUGGUGAGGUAAAGGCUCACCAAGGCGAUGAUACAUAGCCGACCUGAGAGGGUGAUCGGCCACAUUGGGACUGAGACACGGCCCAAACUCCUACGGGAGGCAGCAGUAGGGAAUCUUCGGCAAUGGACGAAAGUCUGACCGAGCAACGCCGCGUGAGUGAAGAAGGUUUUCGGAUCGUAAAACUCUGUUGGUAGAGAAGAACGUUGGUGAGAGUGGAAAGCUCAUCAAGUGACGGUAACUACCCAGAAAGGGACGGCUAACUACGUG